ACGCUGGCGGCAGGCCUAACACAUGCAAGUCGAGCGGUAGAGAGAAGCUUGCCUCUCUUGAGAGCGGCGGACGGGUGAGUAAUGCCUAGGAAUCUGCCUGGUAGUGGGGGAUAACGUUCGGAAACGGACGCUAAUACCGCAUACGUCCUACGGGAGAAAGCAGGGGACCUUCGGGCCUUGCGCUAUCAGAUGAGCCUAGGUCGGAUUAGCUAGUUGGUGAGGUAAUGGCUCACCAAGGCGACGAUCCGUAACUGGUCUGAGAGGAUGAUCAGUCACACUGGAACUGAGACACGGUCCAGACUCCUACGGGAGGCAGCAGUGGGGAAUAUUGGACAAUGGGCGAAAGCCUGAUCCAGCCAUGCCGCGUGUGUGAAGAAGGUCUUCGGAUUGUAAAGCACUUUAAGUUGGGAGGAAGGGUUGUAGAUUAAUACUCUGCAAUUUUGACGUUACCGACAGAAUAAGCACCGGCUAACUCUGUGCCGGCAGCCGCGGUAAUACAGAGGGUGCAAGCGUUAAUCGGAAUUACUGGGCGUAAAGCGCGCGUAGGUGGUUUGUUAAGUUGGAUGUGAAAUCCCUGGGCUCAACCUGGGAACUGCAUUCAAAACCGACUGACUAGAGUAUGGUAGAGGGUGGUGGAAUUUCCUGUGUAGCGGUGAAAUGCGUAGAUAUAGGAAGGAACACCAGUGGCGAAGGCGACCACCUGGACUAAUACUGACACUGAGGUGCGAAAGCGUGGGGAGCAAAC
rnacentral:rRNA from 1 species